CCUGGCGGCACUAGCGCGGUGGUCCCACCUGACCCCAUGCCGAACUCAGAAGUGAAACGCCGUAGCGCCGAUGGUAGUGG
rnacentral:rRNA from 1 species